rnacentral:tRNA from 1 species
AGUUAAUGAACUUGUCUAAGUAUAUAUUUUGAAAAUAUAAAAAAGAAUUAAAAUUUUCUAUUAACUU